ACACAUGCGCACAGAGCCCGGGGGCUACGGAAGCGGUGAGAUUGUCUCUGGGCUGCAGCCCUGGUCGACCCGGCCCGUUGCCGUAGAGAUGGGCAGGGCUGGAUGGAGUGGGGUGCGGUGAGCUGAGCUGACCCUGCUUCGCCACGGGGACUGCAGUGACCCCGGCUUGCCGGCAGGGCGGGUAACCGGUUGAGCCAGGGUGGGGCUGCUCAGGGGCAUGGAGCCGAGGCCAGGAUUUCUCUGAAGACCCGGCACAGGCUAUUCCUUUCUGCGACGAGCCCAUUGCUGUGGAAACCAAAGCGUUAGGCCAGCGGCGAUUGAGGCUGCGGGAUCAUGACUGGUCUCUCUCCCGAAGAACCUUGCCUAAGGCUUCCCGAAGCGGCUACUUCCUGAACGAACCCGCCCACCCGCCUGAGGGAGACAGAGCCCUGCAUUUUAACUUCCCUAUCAGAAGCAAGAAAAAAUAAGUUAUUUUGAGAGGGCUUACUCUAUGCCAAGCCCUGAGAAAACUCUUUACGUGGAUUAUCUCUUUUAAUUUCACAAACAUCCUUUUAAGACCCUGCCCUUGAUGGAUCAGCUGGCACUACCCAGAUCGAUAAACUGGCUCGUCUGAUCUUGUGGCCCCCACCCAGGAACUGACUGGGCACUAGAAGACAGCUUCAACAUCCUGUGAUUUCAUCCCUGACCAAUCAGCACUCCUGUCUCACUGGCUUCCCCCAACCCACCAAGUUGUCCUUAAAAACUCUGCUCCCUGAAUGG
rnacentral:sRNA from 1 species